GCCGGCAGGAGGGCGGAGGAGAAUGGUUGUGCGUUUACCUGCGUGCCUGUGUUUCCAUGUCCGUGUGCGUUAAUGCACAUGCAAGUAUCUACACAGUAACCGGAAAUUUUGUUCUUGUAACAGAAGUCAGCACAUUUGGAGCCAGGAAGUGACUUCGGAAAUCAGUGUCUCAUCCUCUUAGAAACGCUUGCCUUUCAAAAAUGACUUGAUGGACGAGAAGGAGAAGGUCAGAUGAUGCAAGGCCAGGAGAAUAAGGAGGACGAGGAAGGAUAUCGUAGCCACAGGACCGCGCUUCCAUCUGGGCAAUGUGAGAGUUGUGAACAAGGGCGUUGUCUUGUAGGAGGCGGACACCUUUGGUCAAUAUUCCGUGCCUCUUGGUUUGGGUAGCUUCCCGCAACUUCAGUAGCAGUGAAGCGCAGUAAAUUCUUAGUUGGAUGGCAAAGCUCCUCAGCAGGUCUGAUGUGAUGGUGCCAGAGCGCGAGACACGGGCUUAACACAGAAACAAGCAGUUCAGCGGGGAUGCUACAAAUACUGGCUGCCUUGAUACCUUUUAACUCUUAAACCUCAAUCUGGAGAGUUUCCUCACUGAUGGAGGAAACAGCACUGGAACCACAAUACUGCCCACUUCCAUGAUGGCACACCUUAAAAAAAUAAUAAUAAAUAAAAUACUCUGCCCAUCACUAGGAAUGUAGCAGGAUCUAAGAUGAUCUGCCUACCUGCUAAGGAAGCUGAAUAUGUGGGAAGGAAUUAGCAUUCAAUUUUGUCAGGUCUUGGCAGGCAGGCAAAGGUCAUUAGCGAAGAUACAGCCUUUGGCCUCAGCAGUUAACAAGCGACAUGUUUUUAUAGGCUCUAAUGACUUCUAUGAUAUAAGAUUCUACCUUGUUCUUGGGGCGGUCACCCAAUGCAUCGACCAUUUCAUAUUUGAAGGUGCCCCACAGUGCUACAGGAUCCAUCAUACUGUUAAGCAUUCUAAAUCGAUGCCAAACCCACAAUCACCACCCCUUACUCAGUCAGACCAAAUAAAAAGAUAGUUAACCUUUUUUGAUCAGUGCCACCGAGCUCAGCAUUGGGGAACAUCCUGCAAAUCCUUCUCCAAUAACUACUACUGCUCUCAGCUUCUGUGUGACUGACGCAAUUGAUUACAACUGGAUACCAAAGUGAAAUCACCUAGUAUAAUGCAUUUCUAGAUGUCACAGCAGCAAGUUUGGCAUAGAACAACUCUUCAAGCAUACAUACCAAUAAGAGACAUAAAGCCAUACGAGUACUUAAAGUCUUAAUGCCAUUAUGCACUUAUCGACUGGAGUCCCCUUACCGAUGAAGCACGAAGUGUGCUGGAGGAGACAUCCAAUUUCAGAAAAGAAAAAAAGGCAACUCAGCAAUGAUUGUGGGGUAUUGUGAUUCAUUCUCUUUUUUUUUAUCUAAUCAAGUGCCACUUAUUACUUGUGCUUACAUAUGUAGGGAAUUUUUAAAACUCAUGUACAAUACUUCAACUAUUUUGCUCACACUUUAUCCUUUUCUUCUCUAAUGCGACUUGGCAAAUUGGAGUACUCCAGAGUCCAUGGUGAGGCAAGCCACCUGUUUUCCUUUCCUGGCUACUUCCUUUUGCAGAUGAUUCAGUUUCCAUCCUAGAAGUGGCAAUUGACCAUCCUGAUGCAAAGAUUCCGUUAACUCAGAGGAGUUUAAACCCUGAUCAUAAACACAGUACAAGUGCUACCUAUGCCAACCUCCCCAGCAUCACCCCCCCAGUAAGCCACAAGACCCAAUAACUACAUGUAAGUUUCCCAAGGGUUUUGAUCUACAUGCCUCACACGUGUCGGUGUCCACUAGGCUGCAGGUAUAGUGGAAUUCCUAUGUUUCCCAUCCACACCCUCCCCAAGAGAUCCACAGCCUGCUUAACUUGCUAGAUGGGAAGUGAAUUACCCUCCCUCUACUCUAUAGUUUAGCUUAGGGCAUACGACGAGUGUGGCAAUAAGGAGACAUCAGCUGAAGUCCUCAUGGUGGAGAGAAUGAAUAACGUAUAAUGGAACCAUCACUUCACAUCACCUUGG